UACGGAGGGUGCGAGCGUUGCCCGGAAUCACUGGGCGUAAAGGGCGCGUAGGCGGCUUGGGAAGUCUGUGGUGAAAGCUCGUGGCUCAACUGCGAGUCGGCCAUAGAUACUCCUAAGCUCGAGUCGACUAGAGGCAGAUGGAAUUCCGGGUGUAGCGGUGGAAUGCGUAGAGAUCCGGAAGAACACCGGUGGCGAAGGCGGUCUGCUGGGGUCGAACUGACGCUGAGGCGCGACAGCGUGGGGAGCAAACAGG
rnacentral:rRNA from 1 species